UACCUCAACAGCAUCCUGCAGCACGCCAAGGACUUCAAGGAGUACCACCGGAGCGUCAGCGGGAAGAUCCAGAAGCUGACCAAGGCCGUGGCCACCUACCACGCCAACACCGAGCGCGAGCAGAAGAAGGAGAACGAGCGCAUCGAGAAGGAGCGGAUGCGCCGGCUGAUGGCCGAGGAUGAGGAGGGCUACCGCAAGCUCAUCGACCAGAAGAAGGACAAGCGCCUGGCCUACCUGCUGCAGCAGACCGACGAGUACGUGGCCAACCUCACCGAGCUCGUCAGGCAGCACAAGGCGGCCCAGGUGGCCAAGGAG